rnacentral:rRNA from 1 species
GUCUACGGCCAUGUCACCCGGAACACGCCCGAUCCCAUCUGAUCACAGAAGCUAAGCAGGGUCGGGCCUGGUUAGUACUUGGAUGGGAGACCACCUAGGAAGACCAAGUGCUGUAGGCG